GAUGAACGCUGGCGGCGUGCUUAACACAUGCAAGUCGAACGGUGAAGCAGGAGCUUGCUCUUGUGGAUCAGUGGCGAACGGGUGGGUAACACGUGAGCAACCUGCCCCUGACUCUGGGAUAAGCGCUGGAAACGGCGUCUAAUACUGGAUAUGUGAUGUGACCGCAUGGUCUGCAUCUGGAAAGAAUUUAGGUUGGGGAUGGGCUCGCGGUCUAUCAGGUUGUUGGUGAGGUAAUGACUCACCAAGGCGCCGACGGGUAGCCGGCCUGAGAGGGUGACCGGACACACUGGGACUGAGACACGGCCCAGACUCCAACGGGAGGCAGCAGUGGGGAAUAUUGCACAAUGGGCGGAAGCCUGAUGCAGCAACGCCGCGUGAGGGUUGACGGCCUUCUGGUUGUAAACCUCUUUUAGCAGGGAGGAGGCGAAAGUGACGGUACCUGCAGAAAUAGCACCGGCUAACUACGUGCCAGCCGCCGCUGUAA
rnacentral:rRNA from 1 species